UGGGGAAUAUUGCACAAUGGGGGAAACCCUGAUGCAGCGACGCCGCGUGAGCGAUGAAGGCUUUCGAGUCGUAAAGCUCUGUCCUAUGGGAAGAUAAUGACGGUACCAUAGAAGAAAGCCCCGGCUAAUUACGUGCCAGCAGCCGCGGUAAUACGUAAGGGGCGAGCGUUGUCCGGAAUUAUUGGGCGUAAAGAGUGCGUAGGCGGCAAAUUAAGUCAGAUGUGAAAACUAAGGGCUCAACCCAUAGAUUGCAUCUGAAACUGAUAUGCUUGAGUCAAGGAGAGGAAAGUGGAAUUCCUAGUGUAGCGGUGGAAUGCGUAGAUAUUAGGAGGAAUACCGGUGGCGAAGGCGACUUUCUGGACUUGAACUGACGCUGAGAAGCGAAAGCGUGGGGAGCGAACAGG
rnacentral:rRNA from 1 species